GGAUACUUGUAAAGGGGAAUCCUUCAGGAUUACAAGGUACAUUUCCAUUCUGGCCACCAUGCAUGCAUAAAUGGCCCCUGUGAGCCCUGGCAGGACCCAGGGCCUCGCAGAGGUCAUUUACGCAUGUGCUGCGGCGGCCAAAAUGGCCACUGCCGUGCACUACAGAAGCCUGAAUGGGCCAAAAAUGAUCAAUUUCCCGGGCCGCAGUGGUGACUUCAGAGGCCAGCAGGGGGAAGGGGAACCUUCGCGGACGCCACCACCCACACGGCAUAUAGGAAGCCCCCCGAAGGGGCUAAAGCCCCAGCAUAUUUUUAAAAACAGGAUGGCACCUGUGCAGUCCCUGGAAGUUAAUCAAUGAUGGCACCAAUCAGCUGUUCAGGGAGAGGAGGAAGCAGGGGGAGCUCAAUCCAGCAUAGCUGAUCAGCUUAGAGGACUUCAAAAGGAUGAGCAGACGCAAAGGAAGGCAUCAGAGUUCUUGCUGUUGCUAUUUUGACAGUUGUACAGAAGAGGGAAUUCCAGCAUGCGGAACUCGCCAGGCAGUGGUAAGAAAAGCCGUACUGCCUAAAUCACCUCCACUACAUAAGUACUGGAGGCACAAAAACCCUGCCCUCCUCUGCACCUGGGAAUAUUCUCUCUUCUAUUUAAAAGAGAAGCCAAACAACAAAGAACAAAGAAAAUGACAGUGGUACCAUGGGUGUACUGGUCAGGAUGCAAUCCACUUACGGGGCCCAAAAACACCAGUUGAAGAGCACUGGUUUACUGUGUAUGGUGACUGAUCUAAUACAGAUGAAAUAAACAGAAAG